CCUGAUAUCUCAGUUGGUAAAGAAUCUGCCUAAAAUGCAGGAUACCCUGGUUUGAUUCCUGGGUCAGGA
rnacentral:tRNA from 1 species